GUGGGGAAUAUUGGACAAUGGGCGAAAGCCUGAUCCAGCAAUGCCGCGUGAGUGAUGAAGGCCUUAGGGUUGUAAAGCUCUUUUACCAGGGAUGAUAAUGACAGUACCUGGAGAAUAAGCUCCGGCUAACUCCGUGCCAGCAGCCGCGGUAAUACGGAGGGAGCUAGCGUUGUUCGGAAUUACUGGGCGUAAAGCGCACGUAGGCGGUUACUCAAGUCAGAGGUGAAAGCCCGGGGCUCAACCCCGGAACUGCCUUUGAAACUAGGCAGCUAGAAUCCUGGAGAGGUGAGUGGAAUUCCGAGUGUAGAGGUGAAAUUCGUAGAUAUUCGGAAGAACACCAGUGGCGAAGGCGGCUCACUGGACAGGUAUUGACGCUGAGGUGCGAAAGCGUGGGGAGCAAACAGGAUUAGAUACCCGGGUAGUCC
rnacentral:rRNA from 1 species